AAGCCAGUCGAAGAUACCAGCUGGCUGCAACUGUUUAUUAAAAACACAGCACUGUGCAAACACGAAAGUGGACGUAUACGGUGUGACGCCUGCCCGGUGCUGGAAGGUUAAUUGAUGGGGUUAGCCGUAAGGCGAAGCUCCUGAUCGAAGCCCCAGUAAACGGCGGCCGUAACUAUAACGGUCCUAAGGUAGCGAAAUUCCUUGUCGGGUAAGUUCCGACCUGCACGAAUGGCGUAAUGAUGGCCAGGCUGUCUCCACCCGAGACUCAGUGAAAUUGAACUCGCUGUGAAGAUGCAGUGUACCCGCGGCAAGACGGAAAGACCCCGUGAACCUUUACUAUAGCUUGACACUGAACAUUGAGCCUUGAUGUGUAGGAUAGGUGGGAGGCUUUGAAGUGUGGACGCCAGUCUGCAUGGAGCCAACCUUGAAAUACCACCCUUUAACGUUUGAUGUUCUAACCUAGGCCCAUAAACUGGGUCGGGGACCGUGUCUGGUGGGUAGUUUGACUGGGGCGGUCUCCUCCUAAAGAGUAACGGAGGAGCACGAAGGUUGGCUAAGCAUGGUCGGACAUCAUGCGGUUAGUGCAAAGGCAUAAGCCAGCUUGACUGCGAGAGUGACGGCUCGAGCAGGUACGAAAGUAGGUCUUAGUGAUCCGGUGGUUCUGAAUGGAAGGGCCAUCGCUCAACGGAUAAAAGGUACUCCGGGGAUAACAGGCUGAUACCGCCCAAGAGUUCAUAUCGACGGCGGUGUUUGGCACCUCGAUGUCGGCUCAUCACAUCCUGGGGCUGAAGUAGGUCCCAAGGGUAUGGCUGUUCGCCAUUUAAAGUGGUACGCGAGCUGGGUUUAGAACGUCGUGAGACAGUUCGGUCCCUAUCUGCCGUGGGCGUUGGAAGAUUGAGAGGGGUUGCUCCUAGUACGAGAGGACCGGAGUGAACGCACCACUGGUGUUCGGGUUGUCAUGCCAAUGGCAUUGCCCGGUAGCUAAGUGCGGAAGAGAUAACCGCUGAAAGCAUCUAAGCGGGAAACUUGCCUCGAGAUGAGUCUUCCCUGUCGCUUUAAGCGACCUAAAGGAACGUUUAAGACUAAGACGUUGAUAGGCUGGGUGUGUAAGCGUAGCGAUACGUUGAGCUAACCAGUACUAAUGAACCGUGAGGCUUAACCUG
rnacentral:rRNA from 1 species